AUACGCGGAAAAUACGUUUUCUGGGCCCUUUUUUAAAUUAAUUUUUUUAAUAAAAAAUACGUGAAAAAUACGUUGAUGAUACGGUCAAAUACGUAUUUGACAAGUAAAAAUACGUUUCAAAAGAAUUUGAACAUGAACCCUAAUCGCGCCUCCACAAUUUCGCCCCUCUUCUCCUCUGACCCACCCCGCUCACUGUCGCCCCUGCGCAACCCCACUCGCCGAUCGCCGUCGCGCUGCCCUGCACCACGCCGCCGUCGCGCCGCCUUGCACGCUUGGAGUCGCCGCGCCACCCCAAUAAGUGAAGCCAUGAAUAUUACAAAUUCUAGUUCUACAUCUUCUUCUACAACAUCCCCUGCCAUUGGUGAUUCACGAAAAUCAUUGUGGAGAUAUGUUAAACGAUGAAGAUAUGAGGGAAGAGGAAGAGGAGGAGGAGAAUAAGGAUGAUGAGUGAAGAUGUCUAACAUUUUAGUGUGUUUUAUUAAGUAUUAUUAACUAUUAAGACUAUGUUUUAUUUGCUAUUUGGUUAACUUUAUUAUGAAUUAGUAGUGUUUUGCUUA